UACGGAGGAUGCAAGCGUUAUCCGGAAUGAUUGGGCGUAAAGCGUCCGCAGGUGGCUAUGUAAGUCUGCUGUUAAAGAGUGAGGCUCAACCUCAUAAGAGCAGUGGAAACUACAUGGCUAGAGUGCGUUCGGGGCAGAGGGAAUUCCUGGUGUAGCGGUGAAAUGCGUAGAGAUCAGGAAGAACACCGGUGGCGAAAGCGCUCUGCUAGGCCGCAACUGACACUCAUGGACGAAAGUUAGGGGAGCGAAUGGG
rnacentral:rRNA from 1 species